UCAAUAAUGCUGUUGAAUAGAAAGGAGACCCUGGUGGUGUAGUGGUUAAGUGCUAUGGCUGCUAACGAAAGGGUCAGCAGUUCGAAUCUGCCAGGUGCUCCUUGGAAACUCUGUGGGGCAGUUCUACCCUGUCCUAUAGGGUCACUAUGAGUCGGAAUUGACUUGACAGCAAUGGGUUUGGGUUUUUUUGGUUUUGUUGAAUAGAAAUUAAGAGGAAAAAAAGGACGGGAAAUAAAAAGGAAGGAAGAACUUCAAACUUAAGUGUUAAGAUGUGUAUCAGCAAGUCCUAACUUCUAAUUUUGCAUUUGAGGAAAUGACUUAGCCAAAAUUAAGCUACCCAGAGAACAUCUGGUUCUCUCUGGGCUGGGGGAGGUGAUUUAAAGUCACCAAAGAUGAAUAGGAAGGGAUUGAUUCAGUGUCAAGUUCCCCAGAGGUCAGCAAGUCUCAAUUCUAAUCAUUUGUGACCUGUUCUCGCCACUUUGGUGAUCUGGGUCCCUGGCAAUCACACCUUGGACCAGGAUCCCAAGGCCUUUCCCUUGUGGCAUAGUAGUUAAGAGCUACAGCUGCUAACCAAAAGAUGGGCAGUUCGAAUCCACCAUAUGCUCCUUGGAAACCGUAUGGGACAGUUCUACUUUGUCCUGUAGGGUCGCUUCGAAUCCGAAUCAGUUCAAUGGCAACAGGACAAUAAAUCCAUUGUCGUCGAGUCGAUUCCGACUCAUAGCGACCCUAUAGACAAUCCAAAAAAAAAUAGCAUGGAUGAAUUGUUCUUGCUAGUUGCCAUCAUCACGGACUCAUGGCGACCCCACGUACAACAGAAUGAAAUAUUGCCCAGUCCUGCGCCAUCUUCAUGAUCGUUGGUAUGCUCAAGUCCCUUCUCAUGGCCCCUGUGUAUUUUGAGUGUCUUCCAGUCUAGGGGGCUCAUCCUCCAGCACUAUAUCAGACAAUAUUCUGUUGUGACCCAUAGGGAUUUUAUUGGCUGAUUUUCAGAAAUAGAUCACCAGGCCUUUCUUCCUAGUCUGUCUUAGCCUGGGAGCUUUGCUGAAACCUGUCCCCCAUGGGUGACCUUGCUGGUAUUUGAAAUACCAGUGGCAUAGCUUCUAGCAUCACAGCAACAUACAAGCCACCACAGUAUGACAAACUGACACACAGGUGGUAGAUAGAUAAAUUAGCUUGGCUGAAUCAGGGAUAUCAAACCCAAAAACCCAUUGCCAUCGAAUCAAUUCCAACUCAUAGUAGCCCUCUAGGACAGGGUAGAACUGCCCCAUAUGGUUUCCAAGGAAUGCCUGGUAGGUUUGAACUGCCAAACUUUCGGUUAGCGGCCAUAGCUCUUAACCACUACACCAUCAGGGUUUCCUGGGGAGAUCAAAGACAUGAAAAUUUCUUGAAAAUAAAAUCCCACUGGUGUUACGAAUAUAGCACAAUGACUUAGCAUGGCUGAAUCAGUUUGAGGGGAUUUUUUUUUUCAUGGAAAGUGAGUAGACGUCAUGACAGUGCCCUGAAAAGUUAAAGGUACAAUAUAAAUUCCCGGAUGAUACAAAAAGAUAAUGAGCUCAGCUGCUAAUUGAAAGGUUGGAGCUUUGCGUCUACCCAGAGGCACCUCGGGAGAAAACUCUGACGAUCUACUUCCAAAACAUCAGCCACCGAAAAUCCUGUGGACCACAGUUCUACUCUGACACACUUGAGGUCACCACAGAAACUAGUAAGAAGCCAUUUUAGAUAUUUUUUCCCCUAAUCAAUCUCCCCUUGAAAUUUUCAUACCACAGAUAUCCUGUAUAUCCGUGUGUGUAGUGUGUGUAUCUCAGUGCUUUGCAUAUAGAAAAAGAGUAAGACGUUUUCACUUCCCCAGGAACCAACGUUCAGCCCCUUGGGGGUGGUGUUGCCUGGUUGAGAAUGCACACUCCAGACAGAGCCCCCAGUCAUUGUGGGAGCCCACAGAGUAGCGUCUUACGUGUGCCCCCAGCAUGUUCUCCCACUUUUGCUUCUCAAGGAAGCUGCCUUUCUGCGGCCUUUGCCAGCCCACUCUGCAGAGAAGCCCACGCUUCCCAAGGUGACCUCUUCAUGCUCCCAAAGGAGCAGAACCCCGGAGGAAGUAAGCGCACCAGUCCCCCUGCAGACCAUACCACCCCAAACAUGGCCUCACAGGAUGGAGGAGCUUGCCCUUCUCCCUUCUGGGACCUUCUGUGCCUCUGGGCCUAGACUCAGAGAGAAGACUGGGAAAGCCAGCCUUCAGCUGAGGCUGUCCCUGAGGCACCACCCUGUCUCUCCAGUUCAGUGUCUGACCCCAGGAUUUCCAAAACGUGUUCCUCAAAGGGCACUUUUACCACGUAUGGUGCAAGUCAGCAGUCCCAGCUGUGUGCUGAAUGUCGUUUUAGACUCAGCUGGGCCUCCCCAUGCGACAGAAAUGGUCUACAACAUGCUAGCCUUAUGUCACCUUACAGCGCCCCGGUGGCGAAGUGGUUAAGAGUUCAGCUGCUAACCAAAACGUUAGUAAUUCGAAUCCACCAGCUGUUCCUUCGAAACCCUAUGGGGCAGUUCUACUCUGUCCUAUAGGGGUGCUGAGUCGGAUUCAACUCAACGGCAACGGGACAUCACCUUACUCAUCACUUUAACAGAGCUCCAUUUUACAGAUGAGAAACCUGGGACCUGGAGAAGUUUGGUAUAGAACCAAGGUCACACAGUGAGUAGGAGAUACCAACAGAGUCUCAGUGUCCACUUGAUCCAAGAAGCUCACUCCUCAUCAGCAUCCCCCUCCAACUCGCUGUCCAGUCCAAUCCCUGUCUGAAGAGUUGGCUUUGGGAAUAGUUCCUGUCCUGGGCCAACAGAAGGUCUGGGGGCCACGACCACCGGGGCCCUUCCAGUCUCAGUCAGACCAUUAAGUCUGGUCCUUUUACAAGAACUUGGGGUCUGCAUCCCACUGCUCUCUUGCUCCCUCAGGGGUUCUCUGUUGCAUUCCCUAUCAGGGCAGUCAUUGGUUGUAGCCGGGCACCAUCUACUUCUUCUGGUCUCAGGCUGAUGCAGUCUCCGGUUUAAGUGGCCCUUUCUGUCUCUUGGGCUCAUAAUCACCUUGUGUCCUUGGUGUUCUUCAUUCUCCUUUGAUCCAGGUGGGUUGAGACCAAUUGGUGCCCACUGGUGGUUCUGAACCACCAACCUUUCAGUUAGCGGCUGUGCACCUAGCUAUUGUGUCACAGAGCUCCUUUCUGCCCCUGGUAACCAUGAAUAAAAUUUUAGUCCCUAUAUAUUUGCUUAUUUUUGUUAUUUCAUAUAAGUGAGAGAACACAAUCUGUUGUUAUUUCACUCAGCAUAAUGUUUUCAAGGUCCACCCAUGUGGUCGCAUGUAUCGGGACUUUGUUUCUCUUUAUGGCUGAGUAGUAUUCCAUUGUUCCUAUAUUGCACUUUUGUUUACCCAUUCACCUGUUGAUGGACAUUUGUUUCCUCCUUUUGGCUGUUGUGAACAGUGCUACAAUGAACACUGGUGAACUACUAUCUGUUUCCGUCCCUGCUGUCAAUUAUUUUGGCGACACAUCUAGCAGUGGAAUUGCUGGAUCCUAUGGGAUGGCUCAUAGUGUCACUAUGAGUCAGAAUCAACUUGAUGGCAACAGGUUUGGUUUCAGUUUGGGUAUGGGAUGGCUAGGAGGCCUGGUGGCACUGUGGUUAAGUGCUCAGCUGCUAAGAGAAAGGUUGGCAGUUCGAACCUACUAGGCACUCUGCAGGAGAAAGAAGUGGCAGUCUGUUUCUCUAAAGAGUACAGCCUUGGAAACCCUAUGGGGCAGUUGUACUCCAUCCUAUAGGGUCGCAAUGAGUCAGAAUCCAUUCAAAGGCAACGGAUGGGAUGGCUUCUUGACUGGAAGUCCAGGUCCCAGGACGAACAGUUGCCUGAGCCUGUGGGGUGUGCAAUGAGUGCCUCAGCACCUUUCGCUCAGGACUUGUCUUGCAAUCCAUUUGACAGAGCAGUUGGGAAUCUUGAAGACCAUCAAAUUACCCUUCCCCCUGUUGCACAGAGGGGGAGCCUGAGACCCAGAAGCAUGGUGUCUUGUUUUUCUAUCUCCAGUGCUUAAGAUGGUGCCUGUCACAGAGUACCCGUCAGGGUUCGAGCUGAGAAACAGAAGAGAACCAGUGUGGGCCACAGAAAGUGUGGGUUUUAUCACAGGGGCAGCCUCCCACACUAGGGGAGCUGGUUCUGUCGUCUGUGUGAGCCGUUUCUCUGUGUCUCUGCUGGGCCUGAAGAAGCUGGGCUGUCUUUGGGAGUGAAGAAGGACGUGAAGGCGGGAAGACAAAGGACAAAUGGGAACCGCAUCCAUCUCUCACCACCUGCAACCUCAGUGGUGUGGAGGACCUGGGUAGGAGCUGGAGCCCCUCACCCCAGAGCAGCAUACACCUGGCCCAGGCAUUGGAGGAGCUACAGGCCCAGUGGCUGCCCCACGCCAACAAGGUGAACCAGCAGAGGAGCAAUUGAAUGUGUGCGCUGCCCACAGCCCCGCCCUAUACCCACCUUCAGAGCAUAACAAAAUGGCGGCAGCUUCACUUCCACUUUCCAAAUCUUGCGCACAUUUCUGUCUUGGCCAACCCUCACCCAGAGCCCUACAGGGAAAGGACCUCUGGGAAAUGUAGUUCCAGCUUGGCCAAGUUGGCACACCACAAAGCCACCACAAUGUCUGUUAAAUGCUUAAGGAGUGAAUAAAAGGGUGAAGUGACUUGUCCAAGGUCAUCCAGCAAGCAAUUGAGAGGUAAAGCUGAAAUGUGAACCUGAGUCUUCUAACCUGAGGGCCCAUGACUUUCCACUAUACCACACAUAUUUCUGUAGGGAGUCUGGAAGCUCAGCCCAGCAAUGGGCCUCAGCAUGGGGUAUGAGUCUCACUGCUCAUACUUUUUCCUUCUCCAAAGCUCUCCCUGGAGUUGAGUUCUACAGAUGCUUAACGAGCAUCCACUAUGUGCCCAUGCCAAGGAUUGAAAACUGAGUCAGACUCAGCCUGUUCCCACAAGGAACAAGGAGAUAGGUAUAUAAAUAAUUCUGAUGUAUUUCUAUAUAUAUAUAGAUGGAAACCCUGGUGGCAUAGUGGUUAAGUGCUACAGCUGCUAACCAAAGGGUCGGCAGUUUGAAUCCACCAGACGCUCCUUGGAAACUCUAUGAGGCAGUUCUACUCAGUUCUCUAGGGUCGCUAUGAGUCGGAAUGGACUUGAAGGCACUGGGUUUGGUUUUUGGUAUGUACAUAGAUAUAUAAAUAAUUUCGAUGCUAUACAUAUAUAAGAAGUGCUUUGGGAGCACAGAGGAGGGAACUUGUAACUUGGCCACAGUGGAAAUGACUCCUGAAAUCUGAAUCUUAAGGUCAAGUCGGAAUUUGCAGGCAGACAAGGUGGGGGAAGGGCCCUCUGGCCAGGAGAAGAGUGUGAGCCAAAGCAAGCAGGUCUCAGAGGUCAUGGCCAUGUUUGAGGAACGUGGACGAUAGGGUGACUGAGGAGAGAGAGGAGUAAAGAGCCAGGAAAGUCAGGUAGGGGCCCAAUCACAAAGGGUCUUAAAUGCUGGGAGGAGUUUGGGCACCAUUCUGUGGGGGUGGGGAACCACUGAAGGGCUUUUAGGAGGAGAGUGACUGGAUGCAAAUUCCAUUUUAGGAAGAUGGCUCUGGAGGUAGUGUGGAGGAAGAGAAUCUAAAGAGAACAAAGCUACUGCAGAACUCUGGGCAGAAGGACAAAGAUGGCUAGACUAGGGCAGGGCUGUGGGGGAGCAAAUACAUUUUAGAGGCAAUUAGGAGGUGAAGUUGACCUGGCAGACCCGUGGGAUCUCUUUGAGGGUGUGAGAUCAUGUAGGUUUGAAUUUGGGGGCUUAGAGCAAUGGCACAUAGAGAUGAGGAAGCCACUCCCUGCACCCACAUCCGGUGCCAGGGGCAGGAGGGGAGGAGAGGUGAAAGUGGCAGCCUCUUUUGCUCUGGGGUGGACCCCUCCUAUGGUACGGGCAGGUAGGCCCUUAGCCUUUGCCAGUCUGCUGGUAUUAGUCCACACAGGACCCCCAGAUGACUCAAAAAUCCGGCAGGCAGUUCCUCCCUGCAGCCAGCACCAGGGAUGGACUGGCCCCUGUGUAUGCCACCCCUUCACAGAUUAGAAGGGAAUUUAGAAAUUGUCUGCUCAAAACCAUUUUCUUUACAAGAAAGGAAAGAGCCAAGAGGAGCAAGAUGAGGACAAUAAACUUGAACGUAUUCUAGCCCCAUUUGGUGUUCUUACUACUGCACACCAGUCAUCUAGUUGCCCCCUGAUUCUCUUGGCCUCCAGAUGCAGAUGACCGAGGACAUUAAAUGGUGGGAGCAGGGCCAUUUGUUGUCUCCCCUAUGAGUGGUACACAGAGGUGAGGAAACUACCUGGCCAGCACAGGGACAGGACACCCCAGGGAUGACAAACCUUUGAACAGCUGAGAAAACUGGGGGCUAAUGCAUUCUAGAUGAGACUCUACUCAUCCAGGAUCAUUAGUUAUUUUCAGUGAGAGGUGGCUCCAGAUGCUAGGCCACCAUAUUACUAGAAACAGAAAGCCUUUCAGCCUUCCCAGCUGCUGAGUGACUGGGCAAGCCAUCGUCUGGGUCUCUUUCCCUGUUUUAAAGGUGAGACCGGAUAAUUACUGGGCUCCCCUCCUCCCCAAGUUACAAUGGGCCUAUGACACUGUCAAGUUGUGGCUCAUACCUUGGGCCAGGCACCCCGCCUAGGCCCUUCCCCUAAUUUCCGUGACCACUGCUCUGCUCCUGUGGCUGCCUGCAGCUACCUGUCCAGGCAGUGCUUGCUUUACCCAUCUUGAGCCUUUCAAAGCUGGUCAUGCACAACCAGGCCCCAGAGGACAUCUGACCUACCUCAGAGUGUACGUGGGGGUAGAGCCACUGAAGCGCAACAUGGGCAAAGUUGCUGCCAGGCCCCAGGGAAAAGAAGAAUAGAAACCAAAAGGC